rnacentral:rRNA from 1 species
UACGUAGGGUGCGAGCGUUAAUCGGAAUUACUGGGCGUAAAGUGUGCGCAGGCGGUCGUUCAAGUCGCGUGUGAAAGCCCCCGGCUCAACUGGGGAGGGUCACGCGAUACUGAUCGACUCGAAGGCAGGAGAGGGUAGUGGAAUUCCCGGUGUAGUGGUGAAAUGCGUAGAUAUCGGGAGGAACACCAGUGGCGAAGGCGACUACCUGGCCUGUUCUUGACGCUGAGGAGCGAAAGCGUGGGGAGCGAACAGG